rnacentral:rRNA from 2 species
UUUGAAACCAGGAUUAGAUACCCCGCUAUGUCAGAAGAAAAUUAUUUUUUGUUAGUAAGAGAUAUAUUCUUGAAAGUUAAAAAUUUGGCGGUGCUCUAUUUAAAUAGGGGAACCUGUUUUGUAAUUGAUAAACCACGUUUAAUUUUACUUAGUUUUAUGUUUUGUAUACCGUCAUUUAGGUGUUUUUAAGAGAAUAAAAUAUUGAAAUUUUAUAAAGAAAAUAAGUUAGAUCAAGGUGCAGAUGAUGAUUAAGAAAAAAUGGGUUACAAUAAAUUUGUAUUUUAGUAUGGAUAAUUAUUUGAAAUUUAGUUUGAAGGAGGACUUGCUUGUAAUUUUAAAGAAAAUUUUAUUAUGAAAAAAAUCCUAGAGCAUGUACAUAUCGCCCGUCG